UUUAGGUAAUUUGUGUUUUAAAUGGAGGAAAUACCUGGUGAGAUUCCAGUAAGGUGAGAGGUCUUCCUUCUCAUCAGCUGGUUCGCGUUCAUGUUAUAUAAUUUAUGUGUCGUAAAUUAUGAGAAAAAACUUGGAACACAGUGGAUGAAUAUGUGAUGAUUUUUUGACCUAGUUUGAUCCCCAGGUUUCACCCCACCUACACCAGACAGUCACAGAAUUACACAUGAUGUAGUCACACAUCAUUCCUGAUCAAAACUACAACAACACAAUUAGAUGGAAACUGUUUCUGUCCAAACAGGCCCAAAGUGACUUCCAUAACCUGAACUGAACCAUGACCCUUUUUCCUGAAAGUUUGAGAUUUCCUGCUGAUGGAUAAUGGGUCCAAUUAUAAAAACUGCUGCCUGUUAUUUUGCUGUUACCACAUACUGUAGGUCUCAGUCUUGCAUCAUUGUCAGUUGAAUAUAUGGGGAAAACAAUCCAUUUGAAGACAUCCCUUUGUGUUCUGUGAAAUUGUGACUGGCAUAUUUCACUAUUUUCUGUCAUUUUAUAGACUAAAUAAGUAGUCAAUUAAAUGGAAAAAAAACAUCAGAUGAACUGGUAAUGAAAAACAAUAGU